rnacentral:rRNA from 1 species
AUUGAACGCUGGCGGCAUGCUUUACACAUGCAAGUCGAACGGCAGCGUGGGGCAACCUGGCGGCGAGUGGCGAACGGGUGAGUAAUACAUCGGAACGUACCCAGAAGUGGGGGAUAACGUAGCGAAAGUUACGCUAAUACCGCAUACGUUCUACGGAAGAAAGUGGGGGAUCUUCGGACCUCAUGCUUUUGGAGCGGCCGAUGUCUGAUUAGCUAGUUGGUGAGGUAAAGGCUCACCAAGGCGACGAUCAGUAGCUGGUCUGAGAGGACGACCAGCCACACUGGGACUGAGACACGGCCCAGACUCCUACGGGAGGCAGCAGUGGGGAAUUUUGGACAAUGGGCGCAAGCCUGAUCCAGCAAUGCCGCGUGAGUGAAGAAGGCCUUCGGGUUGUAAAGCUCUUUUGUCAGGGAAGAAACGGCUGGGGCUAAUAUCCCCGGCUAAUGACGGUACCUGAAGAAUAAGCACCGGCUAACUACGUGCCAGCCGCCGCGGUAA